rnacentral:rRNA from 1 species
UUAAGCGACUAAGCGUACACGGUGGAUGCCCUGGCAGUCAGAGGCGAUGAAGGACGUGCUAAUCUGCGAAAAGCGUCGGUAAGGUGAUAUGAACCGUUAUAACCGGCGAUGUCCGAAUGGGGAAACCCAGUGCAAUUCGUUGCACUAUCGUUAACUGAAUACAUAGGUUAACGAGGCGAACCGGGGGAACUGAAACAUCUAAGUACCCCGAGGAAAAGAAAUCAACCGAGAUUCCCCCAGUAGCGGCGAGCGAACGGGGAGCAGCCCAGAGUCUGAAUCAGCUUGUGUGUUAGUGGAACGGUCUGGAAAGUCCGACGGUACAGGGUGAUAGUCCCGUACACCAAAAUGCACAGGUUGUGAACUCGAAGAGUAGGGCGGGACACGUGGUAUCCUGUCUGAAUAUGGGGGGACCAUCCUCCAAGGCUAAAUACUCCUGACUGACCGAUAGUGAACCAGUACCGUGAGGGAAAGGCGAAAAGAACCCCGGCGAGGGGAGUGAAAAAGAACCUGAAACCGUGUACGUACAAGCAGUGGGAGCACCUUCGGGUGUGACUGCGUACCUUUUGUAUAAUGGGUCAGCGACUUAUAUUCUGUAGCAAGGUUAACCGUAUAGGGGAGCCGCAGGGAAACCGAGUCUUAACUGGGCGUUAAGUUGCAGGGUAUAGACCCGAAACCCGGUGAUCUAGCCAUGGGCAGGUUGAAGGUUGGGUAACACUAACUGGAGGACCGAACCGACUAAUGUUGAAAAAUUAGCGGAUGACUUGUGGCUGGGGGUGAAAGGCCAAUCAAACCGGGAGAUAGCUGGUUCUCCCCGAAAGCUAUUUAGGUAGCGCCUCGUGAACUCAUCUUCGGGGGUAGAGCACUGUUUCGGCUAGGGGGUCAUCCCGACUUACCAACCCGAUGCAAACUACGAAUACCGAAGAAUGUUAUCACGGGAGACACACGGCGGGUGCUAACGUCCGUCGUGAAGAGGGAAACAACCCAGACCGCCAGCUAAGGUCCCAAAGUCAUGGUUAAGUGGGAAACGAUGUGGGAAGGCACAGACAGCCAGGAUGUUGGCUUAGAAGCAGCCAUCAUUUAAAGAAAGCGUAAUAGCUCACUGGUCGAGUCGGCCUGCGCGGAAGAUGUAACGGGGCUAAACCAUGCACCGAAGCUGCGGCAGCGACACUAUGUGUUGUUGGGUAGGGGAGCGUUCUGUAAGCCUGCGAAGGUGACCUGUGAGGGUUGCUGGAGGUAUCAGAAGUGCGAAUGCUGACAUAAGUAACGAUAAAGCGGGUGAAAAGCCCGCUCGCCGGAAGACCAAGGGUUCCUGUCCAACGUUAAUCGGGGCAGGGUGAGUCGACCCCUAAGGCGAGGCCGAAAGGCGUAGUCGAUGGGAAACAGGUUAAUAUUCCUGUACUUGGUGUUACUGCGAAGGGGGGACGGAGAAGGCUAUGUUAGCCGGGCGACGGUUGUCCCGGUUUAAGCAUGUAGGCUGGUUGUCCAGGCAAAUCCGGAUAAUCAAGGCUGAGGUGUGAUGACGAGGCACUACGGUGCUGAAGUAACAAAUGCCCUGCUUCCAGGAAAAGCCUCUAAGCAUCAGGUAACAUUAAAUCGUACCCCAAACCGACACAGGUGGUCAGGUAGAGAAUACCAAGGCGCUUGAGAGAACUCGGGUGAAGGAACUAGGCAAAAUGGUGCCGUAACUUCGGGAGAAGGCACGCUGGUGUGUAGGUGAAGUCCCUGCGGAUGGAGCUGAGACCAGUCGAAGAUACCAGCUGGCUGCAACUGUUUAUUAAAAACACAGCACUGUGCAAACACGAAAGUGGACGUAUACGGUGUGACGCCUGCCCGGUGCCGGAAGGUUAAUUGAUGGGGUUAUCCGUAAGGAGAAGCUCUUGAUCGAAGCCCCGGUAAACGGCGGCCGUAACUAUAACGGUCCUAAGGUAGCGAAAUUCCUUGUCGGGUAAGUUCCGACCUGCACGAAUGGCGUAAUGAUGGCCAGGCUGUCUCCACCCGAGACUCAGUGAAAUUGAACUCGCUGUGAAGAUGCAGUGUACCCGCGGCAAGACGGAAAGACCCCGUGAACCUUUACUAUAGCUUGACACUGAACAUUGAGCCUUGAUGUGUAGGAUAGGUGGGAGGCUUUGAAGCGUGGACGCCAGUCUGCGUGGAGCCAACCUUGAAAUACCACCCUUUAAUGUUUGAUGUUCUAACGUUGGCCCCUUACCGGGGUUGCGGACAGUGUCUGGUGGGUAGUUUGACUGGGGCGGUCUCCUCCCAAAGCGUAACGGAGGAGCACGAAGGUUAGCUAAUCCUGGUCGGACAUCAGGAGGUUAGUGCAAUGGCAUAAGCUAGCUUGACUGCGAGCGUGACGGCGCGAGCAGGUGCGAAAGCAGGUCAUAGUGAUCCGGUGGUUCUGAAUGGAAGGGCCAUCGCUCAACGGAUAAAAGGUACUCCGGGGAUAACAGGCUGAUACCGCCCAAGAGUUCAUAUCGACGGCGGUGUUUGGCACCUCGAUGUCGGCUCAUCACAUCCUGGGGCUGAAGUAGGUCCCAAGGGUAUGGCUGUUCGCCAUUUAAAGUGGUACGCGAGCUGGGUUUAGAACGUCGUGAGACAGUUCGGUCCCUAUCUGCCGUGGGCGCUGGAGAAUUGAGGGGGGCUGCUCCUAGUACGAGAGGACCGGAGUGGACGCAUCACUGGUGUUCGGGUUGUCAUGCCAAUGGCACUGCCCGGUAGCUAAAUGCGGAAGAGAUAAGUGCUGAAAGCAUCUAAGCACGAAACUUGCCCCGAGAUGAGUUCUCCCUGAGACUUUAAGUCUCCUGAAGGAACGUUAAAGACGAUGACGUUGAUAGGCCGGGUGUGUAAGCGCAGCGAUGCGUUGAGCUAACCGGUACUAAUGAACCGUGAGGCUUAACCU